GUUACAGGCAGACAUUCGCACGCACACAGUCACAUGCAGACAGUCACACAUACAGUCACAGCCAGUCAUGCAUACAGUUACAGGCAGACAGUCACAUAUACAUUGACACACACACACACGGUCACAGGCAGACAGUCACACACACUCACAGUUAAAGGCAGCAGCAGACAGUCACAUGCACAUAGUCACAGGCGUGCGCAGCCCAUUGCAUAAGGGUGUGCACCCUAAAGCACAAACACACG